CCAGGCUGAAGCUGACAUGAUUAGCAAGCAUCGUAACCUUGCAACCUAUGGGAACCUGAGGAACUGCAUCACAAGAGUGAAAGGGACGCCCACCCAGCACUUCUUCGAGGGUGGUGCCUUGAAGGGAGAACUGCGCCUAAAGUGAAUGCCAUGGCAGGCAUUGCGCUGAGGCUUGGGCCAUGUGGAACUGGAGGCAGCCAAGUCAUCAAAGAAGAUAGGACUUCGGCUCAUUCAGAAACCAUGUGAACUACGGCACAAGAGGCUCAGGGCACCGGGACAGCUGGCUGAAUAAACAGCUAAGCCUUUCAAACAUUGAA